UCGAGAGUUUGAUCCUGGCUCAGGAUGAACGCUAGCGGCAGGCCUAAUACAUGCAAGUCGAGGGGUAGUGGAGCUUGCUCCAUGAGACCGGCGCACGGGUGCGUAACGCGUAUGCAACCUACCUUCAUCUGGGGGAUAGCCCGAAGAAAUUCGGAUUAACACCGCAUAAAAUCACAGUAUCGCAUGGUACAAUGAUCAAAUAUUUAUAGGAUGGAGAUGGGCAUGCGUGUCAUUAGUUAGUUGGCGGGGUAACGGCCCACCAAGACCGCGAUGACUAGGGGAUCUGAGA
rnacentral:rRNA from 1 species